rnacentral:lncRNA from 1 species
GUCAGUACAUUCAUCUCCAGAUAGCUAGGUGGACCAGUCAUAGUCAGUCCAUUCAUCACCAGAUAGUUAGGUGGACCAGUCAGUCCAUUCAUCUCCAGAUAGCUAGGUGGACCAGUCAGUCCAUUCAUCUCCAGAUAGCUAGGUGGACCAGUCAUAGUCAGUCCAUUCAUCUCCAGAUAGCUAGGUGGACCAGUCAUAGUCAGUCCAUUCAUCUUCAGAUAGCUAGGUGGACCAGUCAUAGUCAGUACAUUCAUCUCCAGAUAGCUAGGUGGACCAGUCAUAGUCAGUCCAUUCAUCACCAGAUAGUUAGGUGGACCAGUCAGUCCAUUCAUCUCCAGAUAGCUAGGUGGACCAGUCAUAGUCAGUCCAUUCAUCUCCAGAUAGUUAGGUGGACCAGUCAGUCCAUUCAUCUCCAGAUAGCUAGGUGGACCAGUCAUAGUCAGUCCAUUCAUCUCCAGAUAGCUAG